GACACACUGAGGAUUGACAGGCANUAUCUCAUGGUUUACUUACCGCUUAACAUCGAGUGUAAAUAUGCUAGUCCUUUCAUGAUUAUGUGAUAGGUGGUGCAUGGCCGUUCUUAGUUCGUGGAGUGAUCUGUCUGCUUAAUUGCGUUUCACUAAGGGCCCAUAAAUUCAAGGUAUGUUAGCUCUCGUCGCUCUAUGGACCCCUUAACUCCAAUAUUCUUAUUGUGUUAAGCGCGUGUCUUUAUUUUAAGAGUUUUAAGACACUGCGCAUGCUGUUGGGCUCUGAAAGCAACGAACGUGACCGCAACGUCUUGUUGCCUUAAACUAGCGUAUAUUGCAAUUUAUUGUAAUAUCGCUUACAGAGGCUA
rnacentral:rRNA from 1 species